GAUUAAGUUAUUAAGGGCGCACGGUGGAUGCCUUGGCACUAGAAGCCGAUGAAGGACGUUACUAACGACGAUAUGCUUUGGGGAGCUGUAAGUAAGCUUUGAUCCAGAGAUUUCCGAAUGGGGAAACCCAGCAUGAGUUAUGUCAUGUUAUCGAUAUGUGAAUACAUAG
rnacentral:rRNA from 1 species